UAGGGAAUCUUCGGCAAUGGGGGCAACCCUGACCGAGCAACGCCGCGUGAGUGAAGAAGGUUUUCGGAUCGUAAAGCUCUGUUGUAAGAGAAGAACGUGUGUGAGAGUGGAAAGUUCACACAGUGACGGUAACUUACCAGAAAGGGACGGCUAACUACGUGCCAGCAGCCGCGGUAAUACGUAGGUCCCGAGCGUUGUCCGGAUUUAUUGGGCGUAAAGCGAGCGCAGGCGGUUUAAUAAGUCUGAAGUUAAAGGCAGUGGCUUAACCAUUGUUCGCUUUGGAAAAUGUUAAACUUGAGUGCAGAAGGGGAGGGUGGAAUUCCAUGUGUAGCGGUGAAAUGCGUAGAUAUAUGGAGGAACACCGGUGGCGAAAGCGGCUCUCUGGUCUGUAACUGACGCUGAGGCUCGAAAGCGUGGGGAGCAAACAGG
rnacentral:rRNA from 1 species